rnacentral:rRNA from 1 species
GGUGAGUAACACGUGGAUAACCUACCUAUAAGACUGGGAUAACUUCGGGAAACCAGAGCUAAUACCGGAUAAUAUAUUGAACCGCAUGGUUCAAUAGUGAAAGACGGUUUUGCUGUCACUUAUAGAUGGAUCCGCGCCGCAUUAGCUAGUUGGUAAGGUAACGGCUUACCAAGGCAACGAUGCGUAGCCGACCUGAGAGGGUGAUCGGCCACACGGGAACUGAGACACGGUCCAG